rnacentral:rRNA from 1 species
CCUACGGGAGGCAGCAGUGGGGAAUUUUGGACAAUGGGCGCAAGCCUGAUCCAGCAAUGCCGCGUGAGUGAAGAAGGCCUUCGGGUUGUAAAGCUCUUUUGUCAGGGAAGAAACGGUGGUUCCUAAUACGGACUACUAAUGACGGUACCUGAAGAAUAAGCACCGGCUAACUACGUGCCAGCAGCCGCGGUAAUACGUAGGGUGCAAGCGUUAAUCGGAAUUACUGGGCGUAAAGCGUGCGCAGGCGGUUAUAUAAGUCAGAUGUGAAAUCCCCGGGCUCAACCUGGGAACUGCAUUUGAGACUGUAUGGCUAGAGUGUGUCAGAGGGGGGUAGAAUUCCACGUGUAGCAGUGAAAUGCGUAGAUAUGUGGAGGAAUACCGAUGGCGAAGGCAGCCCCCUGGGAUAACACUGACGCUCAUGCACGAAAGCGUGGGGAGCAAACAGGAUUAGAUACCCUGGUAGUCCACGCCCUAAACGAUGUCUACUAGUUGUCGGGACUUAAUUGUCUUGGUAACGCAGCUAACGCGUGAAGUAGACCGCCUGGGGAGUACGGUCGCAAGAUUAAAACNCAAAGGAUUGACGNNGAGAGNGCGAGACGACGACGAGGGAGGAGG